UUUAAAUGAAUUUUCAAUAGUAGAGAAUAUAAUAUCACACAAAUGAAAUAUUUAGGGGUAUUGUGAAUUAAAUUAACAAUAAAAAUUCAUAAAUAAAAAAAAUUGCAGCAGACAAGUUUUCCAUAACAGAAUCAACUUUUCAAAAACGCAUAUCUGAGAAAGAAAGAAAUCAGUAUACGAGAGUGUAACAAAAUCGGGGACACAUAUCUGAAAAACUAAGAACGAAAUUCGCAGCAACUCGUCUUCAUCAACAUAGAUCUGAGAAUGAAAUCGACGAAGACUGAUCGGAGAUCUUUCUCAGUGGAUUCAUUACAACCUUUAAAUCAAACCACAACCAAUUCUCAACAAGGAAGCAACAACAAACGGUUCACUUUUUUCAUUUGAUUUAAAAAAAAUAUCAAAUUAAAUCUUUGCCACUCAUUUUUGUUUUGUGUGUGGGUUCUAAGAGAGAUUAAAGGGAGGGGAAAAAACAGAAGAAAAAUAAUUUGUGUGAUGAAUUGAGCAUAUGUUCAGGAUUUUUUUGUUGGGUUUACAUGACUAUAAUGGGGUUAGAGAUGAUUAUUAUGGAAAGAGGAAGGGGGAGGGCCAAAG
rnacentral:lncRNA from 1 species